rnacentral:rRNA from 1 species
UGCCAGCCGCCGCGGUAAUACGGGGGGUGCAAGCGUUGUUCGGAGUUACUGGGCGUAAAGCGCGUGUAGGCGGUCUGUUAAGUCAGGUGUGAAAGCCCAAGGCUUAACCUUGGAAGUGCGCUUGAAACUAACAGACUAGAGUACAGUAGAGGGAAGGGGAAUUCCCGGUGUAGAGGUGAAAUUCGUAGAUAUUCGGAGGAACACCAGUGGCGAAGGCGGCUCACUGGCUCGAUACUGACGCUGAGGUGCGAAAGUGUGGGGAGCAAACAGGAUUAGAUA